rnacentral:rRNA from 1 species
AUGACUCUCAACCUGAAAUGGACUGGGACGCUUUAUUUUGGACCCCUCAACAAAAAGUGGACACCAUCAGCAUGUCGGACGUGCACGUGUACAGCCACCUGGAUCCCAUGGACACCACCUGGACCAAAGGAGUGCAUGUGUAUGGCCACUUGGAAGUGGUCACAAGAGCGACCAGCAGAGCCGCCCUCGCGGCGGCCGGCGGCGGAAAGCAGUGGUGCUACGCGGUGCGCUCCUGUCAGUGACACCCUGCCUUCUCCCCGCCGGACUGCUGUUGGUCUGCACUGCACAAGGAAGAGUGGAGGGCUUGCGAUGGAGAAUGACGAGGAGGGGUGCGCCUCCCCAACCGCCGAUGUCACAGACUUUGAGGUCGCUGCCCGCGGGGAAAACAGCAUGCUCGCCGCCCGUGGGGGAAACCGCAUGCGCAAGAUCCCCGACGCAGUAGACGAGAUCGAGGUCCUUUGCGCAGCGAAGGGAAACUUGGAGGAGCGGCAGCUGUAG